UCUCCUGUAGCUCAGUGGUAGAGUGCCUGACGCGUGUGCAGAAGGUCAUAGGACAGGUUCGACUUCUGUGGGAUGAA